rnacentral:rRNA from 1 species
GAUGAACGCUGGCGGCGUGCCUAAUACAUGCAAGUCGAGCGAACAGACGAGGAGCUUGCUCCUCUGACGUUAGCGGCGGACGGGUGAGUAACACGUGGAUAACCUACCUAUAAGACUGGGAUAACUUCGGGAAACCGGAGCUAAUACCGGAUAAUAUAUUGAACCGCAUUGUUCAAUAGUGAAAGACGGUUUUGCUGUCACUUAUAGAUGGAUCCGCGCCGCAUUAGCUAGUUGGUAAGGUAACGGCUUACCAAGGCAACGAUGCGUAGCCGACCUGAGAGGGUGAUCGGCCACACUGGAACUGAGACACGGUCCAGACUCCUACGGGAGGCAGCAGUAGGGAAUCUUACGCAAUGGGCGAAAGCCUGACGGAGCAACGCCGCGUGAGUGAUGAAGGUCUUCGGAUCGUAAAACUCUGUUAUUAGGGAAGAACAAAUGUGUAAGUAACUAUGCACGUCUUGACGGUACCUAAUCAGAAAGCCACGGCUAACUACGUG